GCUGUGUUCUUAGCCAUUCUGCCACUGUAACAAUUAUUCCCACAUUUCUAGUGUUUUAUAGCCUUUAAAGUAUUUUCACAAAAACUCUACCAUUUGUCUUUCAUAGUAAGGGGAUUGUUAGAUGCUGUGUUCUCCAUUUUUAGAUGGAAGGAAACUAACUCUAAGAAUUAAUUGAAUCUUCUAUUAAAAACAGGCAUCUUGAGCUCUUUUUCAUCAUUUUCUGUAGCGUAUCUUGUUUCUUACCACUUUUGUUUUUCUCAAAUUUGCUCUGAUUUUAUUCUUUCAUAUCUCUCUAUCUUACAGUCUGAAUGUAUAGCAUAUGGACAAACAGGAAAUGAUUUCCUGGCAUAAUCACAUAAAAUGUCCCAAGAAGUAUUAAUGUAAACUGUAACGGCUGGAUCUGGUCACCUCAGCCCAAAAUAAAUUAAUGCCGAUGGCACGGCAUUCCGUUCAAUUUCAUAAACCUUCAUCCAGUAUAGACUAUGUGUCAGGUCUUUGGGGGCAGGCAGAGUAUGCUCUGAACACACACACACACACACACACAUACACACACACACACCUCUCUCCCCCCAUCUCUCUCAUACACACCUAUGCAACAUGACACAAACACAGACCCCAACACCAACCAAAAACCAGAAAGAGCAAGGCCACAGUAGCCCAAUCACAUCCUUCUUAAAAAUUCUCUCUUCACUUUUUUUUUCCAAGAAAUAAAAACAGAAGGGAAGAUGGGGCUGUAGGGAAAUAGAACUGAUAAAGGGGAACCAGAGACCAUUGGAAAAUGUGAAAAGGAAGGAUGAUGGUCCAGCGUGAACAUGGUUCGCAGAGUGGAAUUUUAGCUUUCCCCCACGCAGCCCAUGUGUGAGGGCAGAACUGCGUGAAGCUGGCAGGGACUGCCUUCCCCACAUUUCCCACGUGGAUGAACGGUAUCCUGAGUGUGAUGGUGCGCUGCUGUCUUUUUGCUCACAUUACAACGUGAACGGGAGAGGCCUGGAAUUUUAGCAUUUGCCACCAAUUUUUAUUUUAUUUGAAAAACAGAGUUACAGAGAGGCAGAGGCAAAGAGAGAGAGACAGAGGUCUUCCAGCCACUGGUUCACUCCUCAGAUGGCCACAAUGGCUUGAGCUGUGCUAAUCCAAGCCAGGAGCCAGUAGCUUCUUUCGGGUCUCCCAUGUGGGUGCAGGUGGCCCAAGGCCAUCUUCUCCUGCUUUCCCAGGUCACAGCAGAGCUGGAUUAGAACUGGAGCAGCAGGGACUCAAACCAGCUCCUAUAUGGGAUGCCAGCACGGCAGGUGGCCGCCUUACCUGUUAGGCCACUGUGCUGCCCCCUGCCACCAAUCUUUAAUGCAAUGUUAAGUGGCAGCUGUUCCCUGGCCUGGGUCAGGGCAACACCUAGGAACACAGUAAAGCCAGGGUGUUCGAAAACAGAAGAGCUCAAAAGCCUUGCACUUAAGGCUCUUCAGAGUUCCGUUACCUGCAUAAAUCAGGUUACUCUAUUGUAAUAGAUUGAAUUAUAUAAAGGUUGAAAAAUUCCUUAAGAAAUAUUAUAUCUGAGAUCACAGUGGUCAGGUAACAGUCAGAUAUGUUUUGAGUUGAUCGAUGUAGUGAAAAAAAUUUUUUGGUUUUCAAUGGCUACAUUGGCAGGCAUGUAUUCUUUAGGCAUCUUCCUAGUCUGGUCUGGCACUGCUGUAAGUGGACAGCUUUCUGCAAGUUUAUGAUAGUUCGUUUUUAAGGGUGGAGGUCUGCGGGGGAGGUCCAUAGAUGUGUCCUCUCAUAGCAAUAGUGUUUAAAAUAAUAAUGAUUCUACCUGUGUUAUUUGCAGAAAUGAACAAGUGCAAAUAUUAAAACACACUUGUGCUUUCAUCAGUGAAAUCUCUGAACCCUUAAUCUAACUGGGAAUAUCCGGGUAGACUGUAGGAUCCUUCGGCUGGCCUGCAUGUCUUAUGUGGUAAAAACCAAAUACGUUGAAAUCUUCGCUAAAGUUAACUCCGGAGACAGGAGGUUGCUCCUGAGUCACCUGCGUCAGCUCAUCGCUAAGAGGCUCGGGAGCACAAAGAGGAGAUCCUUCUACCAGUGAAAUGACCACAUCAAAUCACUCAAGUGUUAGGAGGGAAGGAAGAUGAGAAAGACCGUAUUAGCACUGCCUCAUACUGUUGGAAUGACCUGUCAGCAUGUACCUGUGUUUGCCUAACUUCAGAUCACCCUGAUAACCUGUGCAGUUUGGUUUAGGCUGAGAUUGGGACAAGAGAACAUUAAAUGUCCACUCUAUCAGGUUUUGCACUAUGAACUUUAGAUGAUUUUAAGCUAUUAGUUUAGUGGUCUCGUUUGAAUCCCUGGUGUGGGUGGGUUACUUAACCUUAGUUUUAUCAGAUAUAAUAUUUUUGAGGGGCUUCUAUUUGUGGAGGGAAGCACUCAGUUCUCUUUGCAUUUUUUUCAGUGUCCAAUUUAUUAGUCUUAUGAAUAUAUGAAUCGUAUUUUAAAAAGCAUAGAAGCUUAAAAUAAGUUCAACUCUAUAUAUACUAUUUAUGCAACAAAUAAAAUUAUGAAUUUAACAAAUUACAUUUUCCCAAAUGUGUAAACAAUGAGUAUUAGUUAAAUCUAAGAUUUUAAAUAUUUAAUUAAAAUUAUGAGACAUCUAUCAUAUUCUUGUAAAGGCUUUAAACACUUUUGAAAGCAGACAACACUCAUACAGCAUUCACAUAUUUAUUAAUCAGGACUCUCACACUAAAGCUUGGUAUAAAAGUGGCAAUGUACAUAACUUAUUUAUUACUCCUGUUCUUACUCUGUUUAUUUCUCCACUAGCAGGAUGAUUUGGUGCAUUUAGUUGCCUGGUGAUUCAGGGUGAUCUGUCCUGACCGAUAAAGGUUGUGAAAAUGGUUAAUACGCCUGUGAUCCCCUGUCCCCUUCCUGAGUCAGCACUCUUACUGUCCUACUGCUAUGGUCUGAAUGUGUCUGCUAUUGAGAGAUGGGGCCGUUGGCGGGGGGUGGUGGUGGUGGUUAAUUCCUGAAGGCAGAGCCUCAUUGGAUGCUGUUAGGAGUAGGAUCACUUUUUCACUCUGCUGUGUGAGAAUACUUAGAUGGGGCCAUCUCUGAAGAAGGGGCCUUCACCAGUCAUCAGAUGUGCUCCUGCCUUGAUCUUGGUCUUCCCAGCUCCCAGAACUGUACCAGAUCAAUUUCUGUUGUGCAGAAAUUACCCAUUCUGUGGUAUUGAGUUUUAACGGCUCAAAUGGGCUAAUACACCUACCCCUGCUUUAUUUUCAUUUGAAUUACUCUUCAUCAGCUGAUAUGCAUACUUAUUGAUUUUAGUGUUUUAUCUAUAUGCAUGAAUAUGAACUCAAUAUGGAGCAAUAUUUUUCUUGUCUAUUUUGUUCACUACUCUAUUCUCAGUGUCCAGAGAAUACCUGAAACACUGGAGUUAUUCACAAAAAUUUGUUGAAUGAACAAAUGAUGAAUUCUGACUCAGGAUGUUAGUGUGUGCAACUUGGAUGCCUCUUCUGUGCAGAUUCUGAGUUGACUACCUGCUUGGACAGACUCUGAUCUAAGUCUGUUACAUGGUAGACUGUUCAAUCUGUUGGCUUUGUCCAAGGAAAUAGUUUUAUUCUUAUUGAUCAAACAUUCUCCCCUAAUCACACUGAUUUAUAUCUCAUCUUUAUAGAACUUGGUAUGAGUCUGAGUUAUAGCUGCUUGCUCUGUAUUGGGACUUGGUCUUUAUCAGUUACAUGUAAAGUUUUGGGUCAGUGUGGUGCCCUGAAAAGGUAACUUACUUUCUCAUUGACCAUUAAGAGGUGUAAUAGGAAGAGCUGCAUCAGAGAGCUGAAGAGAUUGAAUGGGAUAAUCCACAAAGGGUGAACAGAACAGUGCCUGGCACACACUGAACUUUCAAUAUCAUUAUAAUUAUCAGUAAUGCUAUUUUCAGUUAUUAUCCUCACUAUAGAGCCAUUUGUUUUCUCCCUCAGUGUUGGCACUCCUUUGUCCCAUCUGGAUGAUGGAAUAUGCCACAAGGCAUCCACUGGGAUCUUCCUUGACAGGAAGCUUGUCAGAUUAUAUUACACCUGUAGAAGGAAGUGCUGUAUCUCUUACAAUGAGCUGUUUUUCAGUCUCAUUCAGUAAGAGUUUGUUAUUUAGCCUCUACUCAAUUCUUAUUGAUUAAAUUUUCCAAAUGAAAGCUUGCAUCCAUUGUGGCCAGUAUCUGAUGCCUAAGUAGCAUUUCUUUGUGAAAUCAAAUGUAAAAUUAUUUAGAUGUAAUAAUUGUUUGUUAUGAUGUCAUAUAAUUAUGCUAGUAGUUCAAGAAGAUGUAGUUCUAGAUAUGUAAUCACAAGAAUACACAUUUAAAAAAUCAAAUGGAUAUUGUAAAAUUAUCCUGUCAUGAUUAUUUUAUACCUCAAAAUAUUUAUACCUCAAAAUACUUUUGCUUAUAUAGAUAUUUUCAACUUUUAAAGUGUUUAACAGUGUUUUUGAUAAAUAGUGCUUUAAUGAGCAUUGAUUUGUUAAAGUUAUUCUGCAUCAUUUGGUUCACUAACUAUACAAUUGCUUGUAUUCUGUGAACUUAUGCUCAUAUGUUUUGCUCAUUUUUACAUUGACUUUUUUUUAUCUUGUUCAUUAAAGUUAACUAUUUAGGAGAACUUUUUUUGCAUAUUUUGACACUUUUCACUCAACUUUGACCAAAAAAUCCAUUUUUCUAACAAAAUAAUUUUGUAAAUGCCAUCUAAAGAGAAUACAAAAUCUGUUUCAGAAAUGAAACACUAUUCGAAGAACUAUCUUCUGAUGGAAAAACAUAAUUCUGUGCAGGAAGGAACUAUACCCCAAAGACAUAAUGUUAUAAUUUUUCAUUGACCAAAAAUAGAGCACUGUACUGUAAACAUCAAAAUAACUUUUGGAGAAACUUGCCUCAAAUUGGAAUGAAGACAGGAAUAUUUUAGACUGUAAUAGCAAAAUAUGCUCCGGUUCUGGAGUUGAUAAAAAAAAGGAAAAAUAGACUACCAAGGAAAAUCUUCCCUGAUUGGCUCAAAAAGGCCCCAGUGCGAGAGAAGCUGCUUCACUGCUCCUCAGCAAACCUUCAUGGCCAUCUCUCUUCACAAGUGCCUGGUCUCUCUGGCCAUUGGCUUUGAUUUAUCAGUGUCACCUUGGGAAGAUAGUCACUAAGCAGUUUGAGACAGCAGCAGUGGGCAGUGAGGAAAAGUCUUGGUCCCACCACUUACUAUCUCUGUGAACCCAAGUUUAUUUAAUGUCAGACUCAACAUCCUACUCUGUGAAUUGGGAAUGAAAAUGCCACCCACAGGGCAAUUGUAAGCUAAGUAAUGUGAGAGUAUUUUAAAACACACCCAUUGUCAUAGAUCAUGAAGUGUUUGCUGUGGCAACCCAUUCUCUAUAACACUUUCAAAUAAUGAACAAAUUAAUCAAUGCAGUUACCUUUUACUGGGGAAAUGAGGCAUGGAGAUACAAGCAGACAUGGGUCCUGCUUUAAUAGGUCUUAAAUCUAAUAAUUAUAAUUAGCAUUUGUAGAACACUGUUUACAAAGUGCUUCUACCCUUUGUAUUACUUAUCCAUUCAUUCAUUUAACUAUGGAACUACAAUGGUGAUAAGUCAGACAGGGCCCUGACCUUGUGAUUGGAGAAAAGACAAGUAUGUAGAAGAGUAAAUAUAAAUAAAAUAUUUGCAGUUAUAAUAGUUUAUGUGAAGGAAUUAGGCAGGAGGCAGGUGGAGGCUAACAGGUGUGGUGUGGGAGAGUAGUUGGAGAGCAUCCUUUGAAACAGUGAACUGAGGCUGGGAAGACUUGACUAUGAAGUGUGUCUCACCAAAAGAGCAGAAAGUGCUGAGCAGAUGUGUAAUGCUAGGUAGGAAGUUCCCCAAGCUCGAGUUGGAGAGACAGUGUGGGGCUGACCAUAGAGAGCGUGGGGGACUCGAGCAUGGAGGACUGUCUGGAUUUUCUUCUAAGUCUAAUGCAAAGCCACUGGAGGCUUUUAAUAGAUGAGAUGGUAACCUUACUGCCAUGAGGAGAAUGGAUUGGAAUGGGUAAGGGUGGGAGUGAGCAAACCACUCAAGAUGCUGUUGAACAAAUCUGGGGAGAGAGUUUUUUUUUCUUUAAAUUUUAUGUAUUUGCUUAUUUUGCUUAUUUAUUGGACACAGGGAUGAGAGGGAGAGAGAGAGAAAGAGAGAGAGUCAAUCUUCUAUCUGCUGGUUUAUUCCUCAGAUGCUUGCAUCAAAGCCAGGUGCCUGGAACUCCAUUUAGUCUCCCAUGUAGGUGGCUGGGACCCAAGUACUCGAGCCCUCACUUGCUGUCUCCCAGGGUGUGCAUUAGUAGGAAGCUGGAUAGGAAACAUAGGAGCUGGGACUUGACCCUACACUCAGAUAUGGGAUGUGAGUGUCGCGAGUGGCAUCUUAACCACUGCACUAAAUAUCUACCCCAAGAGAGAAUCUUUAUUUAAUUAUAACCACUGGAAUUUGUUAGAUGCAAGAGCAGACACUUGAACUCUUCGUUUUCCUAACUCUGUUGCAUCCUAGGGUCUCAGGGGUGUGUAGGAGAUGGUCUUUCAUCUGACUCAACGAUGGCAUGGCUCUAUUUCAGCUGUCUUGAGAAUUGGAUUAAAAUGAUCAUGGUACACCAUCAAUCAUAUUGCAGAUUUAUUUCAGUUGUCUGUAAUAGAUUUAUCCAUGUCAAACAUCUAUGCUUUGAGAUUCUGUAUUAGUUUUUUUUUAAGAUUUAUGUAUUUAUUUGAAAGUCAGAGUUACACAGAGAGAAGGAGAGGCAGAGAGAAAGAGAGAGAGAGAGAGAGAAAGAGAGAGGUCUUCCAUGCACUGAUUCACUCCCCAGUCUGCCUCAGCAGCCGGAGCUGCAUCAAUUUGAAGCCAGGAGCCAGGAGCUUCCCACGUGGGUGCAGAGGCCCAAGGACCUGGGCCACCCUCUACUGCUUUCCCAGGCCACAGCAGAGAGCUGGAUCGGAAGUGGAGCAGCCAAAACUCGAACCAUCACUCAUAUGCUGGCCCCUUUGUAUUAGUUUUCUAAGACUGCCAUAACAAAACACCACAGCCUGGGAGUCCAAGAUCAAGGGAUGUGUGUAUGUAUAUGGGGUGUGUGUGUGUGUGUGUGUGUGUGUGUGUGAUUUCUUCUGCAGCUUCUCUCCUUAUCUUAUAGAUGCCAUUUACUCUUACCUGUCUUCACAUGGUCUUCCUUGCAGGUGUAUCUCUGGCCUAAUUUCUUCUUACAAGGACACCUGUCUUACGGGAUCAGGGCUCAACCUCAUCUUAACUUAAUAAGCUCCUUAAAAACCCUGUCUCCUAAUGUUACCAUGUUGUGGGGUACUCGGGGUUAGAAUUCAAGAAUUGGGGGUGGGGAUACAAAAUUUGGCAUGUAACAAAAUUCUUAAAGGAAUCGUGUUUUGGGGGGAAUCAGGUGUAGUAAUGAGAGUCAGCAUGCAGUUCACUUAUUUCUGGAAUGUUUCUGAAAUAGUUCCAUUUCUUCUUAAUCUUCAAGCAAAAGAUGUGGUUGUCUUUUAUAAGUAGUGCCAACUGUGAUGACUUAAAUACCUCCUUGAAGGAUUGUUUGACAUGUUCACUAAGGCUUAUGUCAGGCCACCAGGCUACCUCUGGUUAACAGACAAGCAAUUUGUUUCUCUUUUGUUAAGAGUAAGAUUUUGUCUUUUCUUCGCCUAGGUAAAUUAUGGAGGAAAUUGCAGUAGAAACAAACAUGAGCUAUUGUUGAUACUCUGCAUUUUGCGAUUGUGUUUUUUCUCUACUUUCUGAUGGAAUGCGUUUAUGACCAUGCAACAUUUUGUGGCUACGGCGGUUGGAGACCUCAUGUCCUCUACUGAAAUAAGUAAGGACCAAGGCACACGUUGUUCAAGAAAGAUUAGGGCCUCUCUGCCUGGACACAGUUUGUGUGUAUGUAAAAAAGAUACUCUGGGGAAGAGGCAGCCAAGGAGGGGAGGGGCUCAGGUUGAUGAAGAAUAGGAAAACCUCAAGUAGUCCUCUUUGUGGGUUCUUCUUGGAUCCAUGUCUAUGGGCUCAAUCACAGGUUAGCAGCUGGGAGUUUUUUAGCCUUAACUGGAAAGAGAAAUUUAUUGCUAAUUGGAUUUAGUUGGCUUUUUGAUAUCAAAAUGUGGAAACUUUGGAUGAGGUAGUGACAGGCUUUCAGACUAACAAGGUAUGUAAGUAUUUACCAGCCUGUAAGAAAUAUAGACCCAUGACCAGAAGCAGAACAGCAACCGACAGCUUCAGGAAUCAAACUCUGAAUCUGGAGGGUCCUUGUAUAUUGGUGGUAGGCCUAACUUGUGAUAUAAGAGGAAAUCCUAGAUAAACAAGGUCUUGCUAUUCAAUUAAUGAUCACUUAGGAAGUGACUGGAUGUUUUGGUUCUACUACUCUAGACAAGGCAGAAAGAGACCUGGCUUUGGGCUCAGAUAUUGGGUGGGUCACUGUUAAUCGUGUGACUUCUCUGAGCCUCCAUUUCCAUUCUUGAAAACAGGAAUAGAAACUCUUGAAUAUCCUGGGUCACAGAGGAAAUCAGUAGAUGGUGCGGACCCAGCGAUGGUUUCCUUCCUUACCUGGGAUCAUAUACCUUCACCUUGUUGUUUUCCUUAAGCUUUUUCUCUCUUUACCAAAAGCACUUCUUAGAGAUGGUUUCUUAUAUUUUUGUAUACAUCUUCAAGUAAGUUUUCUAUACUGUUAGCAGUCUUAGAGUCAUCUUUUAAUCUUCUCUAAUAUUGGAGAGAAAGUUCUGUCUAUGUAGAAUAAUGCUCAGUAGGUAGUAGUGUCUGUUGAUAUUAUUAUUAUUUUUACAAUCACAAUAAUCCUCUAAAAGCCAACAUAAAUCCUCCUCCCUGUCCUGUAUCUUCAAAAGUCACCUACCUCAACCAAGCCCCAAGCUGCCACAUAUCAAUAAAAAUGAGCCUUUAACCCACAACCCUAAUGCCAGAAAUUGUUGAAGACGUUAUUUCCACCCUCUAUUUUGCUCCUCUGUAUCUUCCCAGUUCCUUGCCUCUGGCUUCUGAUUUCUCAACUUGGCCUUGUACUCCCACCUCUGGGUCAGGUGGCCUGGCCUUUCUGGUUUAACUUGGGCACUCUUUGUAUACAGCUCACUCUUCCUCUGACUCUUACUUUGCCCCUGGCCUCUGAUGAGCUAUGGGAUCCCCAAAUGGGGCCUUGGACAAGUUCUAGCCAUGAUCUGUGUUUAGUCAUUUAAAAAGUCCUUGAUGAAUCAAAUUGCUUUCCUUUUUGUUAUUAUCUUAAAAUGUUUAUUUGAUAACAAAUUCCAACCUGGACACUAGCUUCUACUCUUUAAUUAAUGCCCCUCCUUCUCUUUAAGUUUAUUUGGCUGGUAAGAGAAUUCUAAGAUUAAUUCACCUUGUCCUCAAGGUGACAAAGCUGCUGCCUCUCUCUUAUUCUCACAGCAUUAUUGUAUAGCAAUGGUUUGUUCCGACUUUGUCAUUUUCUGGCACCUAUAUUUUAUGAACAUUGUGUUACAGGGCCUGGCCCAAUGAUUAGGAGGAUCAUUAGCCCAAUGGGUAGAGCACAUUGAAACACAUUUGGCAAAACUGCCCUGAGUCUAUGCCAAAAUGUCUGGAGAGGAGAGACCACAGUUCUUGCCAAAGCCCUGAGCCCCAGUGCUGGCCAUGAAAGCUGCUAGUUAAAGGGUUUAGCCAUUCCUAAUUUUAAUUAAAAGUUUGAUUGUAUAGUUAGUUGCUUGAUGUCUAUGCAGUUUCUUACCAGUUUGAAUUCUAUAGAUCACUAUAACCGAUCACCAAGGGUUGUUGAACGUGUACACUUCAGCAAAUCCUUAUCAAAAUAAGCUCAAUAAAUAAAUGGGCUGGCUUAGCUUCCUACACUGUGAGCUGGCUUAGAUGUCAAGGCUUCCUAUUAACAAUUAGUCAACUGUGGUCAUGCCUUUUGUGUCUCUUGGGAACUGAAUAGAUUUUUAUUCCAUGCAGAGAAGUGGACAGGUAGAAAACUUGAAAAGAACCACCCCCCCCCUCCCGCUUUAGGAUAAACAACCCAGCGUUUAUUUCCAGUUCUUGUCAGGAUAAAAGGCUGCCAUUUAGCUGGUCCAGUGCUUUCUGAAUCCUUUCAAGCUGCAGGGAGAGUGACUCUGGUUUGUGUGGCUAGACCACUGGAGAGGAUGAUUGAGCUCUUUAGUCAAGGAGGAGUGAUAAUAGCUGUACACCUUCUGCAGUUAUUGGACACUUUGUGUUAAUAACUCAUGAUGACUUGAGUGUUUAGGUGUGUAUUUCAGGCUCAGUGUAAAAUACCACACCAUUAAGAAUUUAAACACAUUCUAAUUUAAUUACAGCCAGGAAUUGGUUCCAAGUGAUCCUGUGUUUUUGUUGGCUAGUUUUAAUAUUGCAAAUUUCGAAUAUGGAAAGAUUUAUUUUCUUUUACUCUUUGCUCUUUUUUCUUCUGGAUUGUUAAAAAUCCUAAUAAUUUAAAAAGGGCACACAUUUGGAUAAUGAAGUGCAAUUGAAGUUAUGGAAAAUUCUAUUUUUCUUCAGUUCUGUUUAGUUUUCCAUUUUGACAUGUGCCAAGUUUUUUCCUCUCCCGUGAUAUAUUGAUUACUCACACAUUCUUUUUACCUUCAUUUUGUCCUCAAAUGACUUUUCCAUUCCUUGGAUGUCUACACUGUUGAAACAUAAUUUUUCUACUAUGGCAUGAAAGGUAAAAAAAAAAAAAAACACUACCAGUUGAAAAAUUCAUCAAAGCAAUUAUUAUUUAAUUACCAUCCAAGUCAACUUGUAAUAUGACAAAUUGAGCUGGUUUCCUAGGCCUUGACUUUUGGGGUCUUCUGUGCAGCGAGUUACCCAUGCGACAAAGGAGGUGGGAAUAAUUAGCAAAGGACAAAACUGGUAAUAAAUAAUAUCUGAGCUUCUGUAUAAUCUAAAUCACAAAAGGCUAUUUCUAACUGCCCUGUACUUCCAGAAUCCUUCCACAUACUCUUCCAACUAACCCUUUUGGUGGCCUUUGAUAAGCAAUUAAACUGGUUCUAGAUUAUAUAAAAAUACCUUUAAAAGCAAAAUGGGGGAGAAGAGAGUUCCCCUGAUAAUUUCUCUUGCAUCUGGGCAUUCUGACUUUGUUGACUUGCUUCAUCAACUUCUAGGGAUGUGCUCAGUUAUCAAUGGUAUCUGGGAAACAGAUGAAGAUGUAGAUCUGAUGCCCACGAAUGGUUUAUGUACCUGAUAGCACCUUUUCAGAAAGAAUCCUCAUUAAUUCUCUGCCAUCUCCAGCUGUGGAGACAUUUUACUCUCCAAAUAUGGCAAGCAGUAGGUUCCUUAAGUAAAACUCGCAGGUCUGUCAGUCCUUCAUAACUUUCCCUUGGUAGGGAACAAUGAAAUUAUGGACCACCAGGGUAAGGCAAGGUAUUCCAAUAAUUUUAAAUUGUAAUAUUUAAUUUGGAAAAUAUAGAAUCUUUAAUUGGGAAGAGAAACAAGCCCAGCAAUCCAGGUUUGUUAACGUACAAAAUGAGGAAAAUGGUCAGGACUUAAAGAAGAAAAACUGUAAGGAUUCAGAUAUGGACUUAGGGGGAGCGUGGCAUUAGCUCCUUGAGUUUGUUGUAUAUAUAGAUAUAUAGUAUACAUGAGUAUCUCAACCUGAAUAGACAUAAAAUUAUAAGAAAUCUCUCUUGCCUUGAUUUUUUUUGAGGGCAAGACUCAUUCUGAAGAGGUGUGUAGCCAAAAGCACCAUCCCCUUAGGAAACAAGGACUCCUGUCUUUAUGGUUUUUUUUUCGGCUUCCUCAUUUCACGUGGUUCCCAUUGCUUUGCCUGGCACAAGGGGAUUGGAAUGAUGCAUAGUGUAUUGCAGACCACCCAAGAUUUCUUCAAAUACUCAUAUAACAUUUUGUCAAAUUAUCUUUCAAAACUCCAAAAAUACUAUGCCAAAAUAUUAAAUGUAUAUUUGAGAAUUAUUUAUGGAUGUGUUUCCCCACCCCCAUUAGUCUAUGAGAAUCCUUAAAUGGAAGAUGUCAGCUGAGGCUUGGUAUGGAAUAAACUCAAUCAGUGUUGAAUAAAUGAUUUAAGAAACACCUUUAUCUACUUGUUUGUUAUUUAUUUAUUUGAAAAAGUUACAGAGAGCGACACACACAUAAACACACACACACACACACACACACACAGAGAGAGAGAGAGAGAGAGAGAGAGAGGGAGAGAAUCUCCCAUCUACUGGUUCUCUCUCCAAUGGCCAGGGCUGGGCUAGGCUAAAGGCUGAAGUCAGGAGCCAGGACCUUGAUCCAGGUCUCCUGUGUGGGUUCAGGGACCCAAGCACUUGGCCCAUAUUCCUCUGCUUCCCCAAGUGCAUUAACAUGGAGAUGGAUUGGAAAUAGAGCAGCUGGGUCUCUUAACUGGUGCCCAUUUGUGAUGCUGGCUUCUCAGGCAGAGGCUUUGUCCACUACACCACAACACUGUCCCUAGAAUGCUUUGAUUAAAAAAAAAAAGAAGUAAACAUUAGCCAGCUGAAGCUACCCAUGUGUGAAGUUACAAAUGCUUGGUGUAGAGAGGGCAGCACAUGGAAUAAGCCAGGUAAAGUAUGACCAGACAAGGUAUGUCACUAUAAGAUGUGAAUCAUUAUUGAUCUAUAUUUUAUCUUCUAUGGGUGGGCAUUUGCUGCAGUAGUUAGGCAGCUAUUUUUGGGAUGCCCAUAUCCCAUAUCAGAAUGCCUGGGUUCAGGUCCCAAUUCGGCUUGCCAUUUCAGCUUCCUGCUAAUACACACCCCAGGACACAGCAGGUGAUAAUUAUAUCCCUGCAUCACACGUGGAAGACCUGGAUUGAAAUGCCAGAUCAUGGCUUCUGCCUGUCCACUCCUGGAUAGUGGGAGAAUUUGUAGCAUUUGGAGCAUGAACCAGUAGAUGGACAUGUUCUCUCUCUGUGUGUGUCUCUGCUUUCAAACAAAGUACAUCUAUCAGGGAUGGCAUUGUGACAUAGCAAAAUAAGCUACCACCUGUGGCACUGGCAGCCUAUAUGGGUGCUGGUUCAAGUCCUGUCUGCUACACUUCUGAUCCAGCUCCCUGCUAAUGUGCCUGGGAAAGCAGCAGAAGAUGGCCCAAGUCCUUGAGCCCCGGCACCCAUGUAGGAGACCUGGAUGAAGCUCCUAACUUCUGGCUUCAGCCUGGCCCAAUCUUGGAUGUUGUGGUCAUUUGGGCAGUGAACCAGUGGAUGGACUAUCUCUGUCUCUACUUCUCUCUAACUGUGCCUUUCCAAGGAAUAAGUAAAUCUUGAAAAAAAUAAAAUGAUCAAUAAAUAAAAAUGCAUAUUUUAUCUUUUUGUGUUGCUAAGUGUUGGACAUGUUAUAAUCUUUUUUAUAGUUAACUACUUACUAUAAAUAUUUUUCCAUGUGGCUUCAAAGCCCUCAUGUUUUCUAUUUUUAUAGGUGAUUGCUAUUCCACUGUGUUGCUGUGGGAUGAUUUUCUUGAAGUUGCAUCCUGUUGAAUUACUGGUGUGAGAUUAUUGAGUGCAGGACAUUGGACCUUGAGACAACUCUUAGAGUUAAUUGCCUUAUUGUGAUCAAAAAGCUAGUCUGAAUUUAAAUGGUAAUCAGCUUAGAGGAGUGAACCAAUUUCCAAUUCAACUUUACUAGCAUACUGCCUCCCAGCAUCUGCUUUCAGAAUACUGCCUCCCACAUCGCACACUCCCUUACCACAAACACCAGCAGUUAUUUCCGGAAGCUUGCCUCUGUUGGACACCAAAAAUUUCAGGAGGAAAGCAAAACGUUCCAAAUGUUUCCCAGAUGUGUGGCAUAAUUUGGCAUCAAAAUGAUUGAAGUUUUCAUUUUUCAAAUAGAUGUUUUGGCAGCAUGCAAAUGCAACCUUAAUGUACUAAGUACAUUUCUCAUUUUUUUCAAUAGACUCACAUUAAUAAAAUAUUUAAUAAACACAUACUGUAUGCCAUGUUCAACAAUGGAGAUUAAACAGUGAAGAACUUCAGUGAGUUAAGGAUCCAAAUUAAAGAAGCUUACACAUUUUCUUAAGAUUUGUUUUAUAUAUUUGAAAGAGUAAUAGAGGGGGAGAGAGAUAGGGGAAAAGUCAGAGAGAGAGAGAAAGAAAGAGAGAGAGAGAGAGAAAAUCUUCCAUCUGCCCUGUGGUUCACACCCCAACUGGCCACAUUGUCCAGGUCUGGGCCAGGCUGAAGCUAGGAGCCAGGAGCCAGGAGUCUCCUACAGGUCUCCCACAUGGGUGCAGGGCCCCAAGCACUUGGGCCAUCCUCCACUGCUUUCUCAGGUGCAUUAGCAGGAAGCUGGAUUGGAAGUGGAGCAACUGGAUUCAAACUGGUACCCAUAUGCGAUGCCAGCAUAACAGGCAAAGGCUUUACCCACUAUGCCACAACACUGGCCCAGAAGUACACAUGCUGUCUAUUUGGGGAAGUCAUCUUACAGUAAAUAUUUCCAUUUUCAAGUGAAGAGAUUGCAUUUCUCACAUACCUGUUAAAUUUGACAAUAUAGUAUAAAAAUCGCAUUCCGGACAGUGUGCUAAUUAUCUAACAGAACAUUUUCCACUUUUCAGAGAACAGGAAAUGGAGACAGGAAAGGUGCAUUUCUAAGCUCAGACGUAGAGGGCAAGACAGACAUGUGUAUCCUGUUCUCAAUAGCUCAUCCUUUCCCCGACUCCAGACUGUGAAACUGUGGAGACUCUUGUCCUGCUGGUGGGAACUCAUCUCAGGGAGAUACAGAAAAAAUGAAUUCCAAAUUACAUGUUUCCCUAGUCUCUGCAUUCUGAAUACCAGGAAAUAUCAGGUGUUGGUAGCUGUUGCUGAGUCUGUGAUUGAAAAUUGCAAACACUCAAGCCUGGGCAAGGGUAAAUAAGCGAGGAACAGAGUGUGGAAAGACAAAAAGUGAUGAGUGGGACUUGUACUGAGCUGGGUUUCCACUGCCUGCUACAUAAUGAUAAAAGCAAGUCUUAAGGCAUUAAUAUGAGGCAAUUAUGAAUACUGCUGCAACUUCCAAAAACUGCUGGGGACUUCCUAGGAUACUGAUAGGCCUGUGUGGUGUCUAAUGUCAUGGAAAUCUCAUCAUAAACCCCAGGAGAUCCAGAGAUGUAUGGUGGAGAGGCUUUGUGCCGCAGCACGUGCUAUUUAAACACUUUUCAGUGUUCUCCAACUCCUGUCCUACAGAUGCCUACCAGAAUGUGUAACCAAUUAACCAUUAUGGACUGUGAAUUUCAGCAUCACUAAGUAGAUCUGCAAUGGCAAGGCAAGUUUUUUAAUGUUUGAAAAAAAAAAUCAGACUUCAUGCUCUGAUGUGAGCAGAUACCCUAUUCUGGAAGUGGUUCUUAUUCUUUAAAACCAGAAAGGUUCCAUAUAAUCUGAAAUGCAUAUUCUUUCCCAUGUAUAAACAAUAUAAAUAGUAUGUCUCUGCUUUUAUCACUUCUCAGCCUUUGGGAUAAGAGCAAGUGUAGUAUGUCUAUAUUUUUGAAAGCAAUGGUAGUCUCUUGAUCCAUGAAUAGACAAUUCAGAGAUUGAAUGAGUACAUCGUAUAAUGGCUUGAUUGUGUUUUAAAUGAUUAUUAAAAUAGAUCUAUAUCUGUUAUUUCAAACAUCGAUCGGUUUUGUCUUUAAGAUAAAAUACCACUUAGAGAAAGGUUUCAUAAAACUGUAGAGCUAGGAAAUAGUUGAUAAUAUUACUAUGUCUGACCAAGGUUAAUCCCUUUAAAAAUCUUUCCUAGUAAUAAUCCCUACCAGCUCUGUGCAUAAAAGGAGCAACCUGGUGGACGUUCUGUAUUCCAGGAGUUUGUUCUAGCAUUAUCCUGUGUCAUCUGCUCAUAUAUCUGUCUUUUUGCUCCCUCUCCAAGUCAAUACCUAUUACUUGUUUUCUGGCUCAUUUUCCUAGGGCUUCAGCUUUAUAGAUUGACUACCUUUCAAUAAUUUGCAGCCUAAGGCCUCCUUUUCUGGCAUCUGAGCUAAUUACUUAUGCCUGGAGUUAAUUAUUUUUUUCAUGGUGAGAAAGAAAUAUAUUUCCCGACUGCUGUCAGCUUGGAGCUGUCUGGCUGUAACAUCUAGAUGAACCAUGGAUUCUGCCGGAUAUAAACAAUUUCACAGAAUAUCAAUACCAGGCAAUACUUCUUUCUGAUCAUGAAUGGAGCAAGAUAAAAACAGAAUCACUCUGUAAACAUGCUUGAACACAGUGAGAAACAGCACGAUCUAAACCAAACCAAAGGACCCACGCAUUCUACUAGCUGUGCUGCUAGGAGUGAACACUUCUUCCUUUUUUUUUUUUUUUUUUUUAACCAAUUAUAGCAUUAGCUUCACUGUUUCUCCUGUCUACUAGGAAAAAAAAAUAUUAAUAAGAGACUCAGUGAAAGACUUACCUCACUUCAUCAUAGCACCUUAUUAAAAACAAAACAACAACAUACUUCUUGUCUUCCUUUAAAUUCCCUAACAAACCCAAACCAUAACACCAGGUCAUUCUUAGACCCCUCACGGUGAUUCUUCUGUAUCACCCUGUAGUGUGAUGUCUCCCACAUUGCAAUGGGACAAUAAGCCCAACUUUGGUCAAUAUCGGUGCAUUUCUGGUGAUCUGAGCUGGAGGGCUUUGUUCAUGGAGACCUACUCCCUGCGAAAUAUCCAUUAACAGCAACCCUCUUUGAAAGGAUCUUUAACUGCCCAAACAUCUAGUACCAGUGUUGUAAACAGUGCCAUCAGAAAUGGAUCUGUCCUGGGGCAGACCUGGGCAAUGUAACCUAAUUCCUUCCAUUUUUCAGAUAAAACACAAGCAAAAAUAAGAGAGGUUAAGAUUUUCCCUCUCUGAGACCAUCAGGCAGUGGCAGAGUUGUGAUUAGCACCCAAUCUUCAGACACCUGGUUUCGCCCAUUUUCUGCUCUACUAUGCUGUUUAAAGAGUACAACUCCGAAGUAUAAUGCACCUUUGAGCACUAAAUUCAAUUUACUAUUCAUCUCUACUUAAUUAAGUUUGGUUUCCAUUCUCUCCUUCGAAAACACUUUAACCUUCAAAUCCUGGGCUCUGUCCAAUGCAUGGCUACCCAUAAGUCACUUUUAACUUUGAUUUUAAAAGCUCCUAUGGGUACUUUCGGUGGGGGCAUUAAUUUCUUAGGUGUGAGAAUCUUAUUUAGUUUCUACGUCUUGUCAAAGCAGCUGUUUUCUUUUCUUCUCAGAUUUGGCAGUUCUGUAGAGUAGCUAACCUAUGUGAAUUUUCUGUUUUUUAUUGUUUCAAUGUCACACCUUCCAUAGUUAACAUAGAAACCUUCAAAAAGAAAAAAAAACUGAAACAAAACACAGAAAUUCUAUCACCUGGCCUCUCCUUAUUGAAGAAAUAGUGGCUGUGAGAUGGGCUUCUUCCAGAGAGUGCUCUACAUGCCAGCCGGUUUACUUCUCUUUCUUUUUAAAUCACUAAAUUGUCCACAUUUGAAAGAAAAUUCUUCAAAUACAUUGUGACUUUUCCAUCUGGAUUUAUAUCACAGCCACAUUGCAUUUGAAAGACCUUUCUUAAAAAUACACAUUUGAGGAAGGAAGUUUGUUUAUUAAAAUCACAGAAGUAAUAUUAAAGUGCUUUUGAACAAGGAAACAAGAGAACCCCAUUAUUCAAAUAAAGCCGUGUUUAUUAUUUUCAUAUUGCAUGCAAACAUUUUCACAUCUUUUGACAGAGAUGUUCAGAUUGAUAUUCUGUUUCUCCUUUUAACUAUAUAACAAACAUAGUCCCAUAUUUUCAUGUGGUUUGCAUUGUAAGUAAUUUCAAGAGAGCAGAAUAUUAUGUUAAUGUAUCAUAAACCUAUUUUGGGUAUUUAGUUCUUUUCAUUUUUUUGUUUAGUUUGGUUAUAUAGAAAAUAUUGCAGUAAAUAUCUUUGUGCAUGUAGCUAUUUGUUUUUUAAAAUUCUUUUUUGAGGAAAAUAUUCAGGAUUAGGAUUACAGUGCUCUUGUUUAGAGAUUGGGGACUUCUCUAUGGCUCUUCUUAACUAUUGAUACAUUACUUGCUCAGAUAUUACAGGCCAUCAGUAGUGAGUGCACUUGCAUGAGUGAAACAUCACCAAAGUUCACAUUUUCACUAGAAUUACUUAAAAAGGGAUUGAGAGAUAGAGAUAGAGAGAGAAAGAGAGAGAGAGAGAGAUUCCAUUCUCUCGUCCACUACUUAAGUGCUCAUAAUGUUUGGGGCACAGCUAGGAUGAGGGAUGUUUGGAACCAGGAACUCAGUCCGAGUCUUUUGUGGGUGGCAAGAGUCUGAUCACUUGAGCCAUCAUUGCUGCUCUCCAAGGUCUGCAUUAGCAAGGGUGCUGGAGUCGGGAGCCAGAGUCAGGAAGUGCACCUAGGUACUCCAGUACGGCAUGUAGGCCUCUUAAAUACUAGUUUAAGUGCUUGCCCCUGCUGCCUUAAUUUAAAAAUUGUAAAAUAACAACUUGCUUUACUUCAUUUUGCAUUUUUCCAUUAACAAGGAAAUGAUGUUUUAUCAAGUUAGCAGUUUUAUUUUUUUGCAAUCAUAAUUUCAGAUUUUCAUGCUGACCUAAGGUAAAUAGGCAGCUAUUUAUUUUUUGCUCCACUUACAGCAAUGUGCACUAUUAUAAAGUAGAUUUAUUUCCAGCCUGGAAAAAAGCCAGGCUUUUCUGGGAUUUGGGAACAAAUUUGGUGUGAGAGAUAUGGAUGAUGUUGUCUUUGGUAAAGGAACAGAGGCUCUUUAAUAUACUUCUUUGUAUCCAGAUUUCCAUUUUAAGAUCUAUUCUACUCUAUUAGACUUUGUGGAUGUUUUAAUUUUUGAUUUUGUAAUAAUUUUCUCUCUGGUUUUCUUUGGCUGUAAUAUUUUUAUUGGGCACUUGCCUUAUUUUCACAAGUUGUAUAUGCAAUAUAGUAGAUUUUAUCUGGUCAGAGGCCAAAAGAAAAAUUUUCUUUCUCAAAAGCAAGUGGGAGUAACCUUUUGUUGGAAGAGAAGUUUUGCGUAGUGUGAGAAGCCUAUGUUAUUUAUUUUCUACAUAUUUAGCAAUAGUUUCUUUUAGGUGAGAAGAUUAUUUAAAAAAUUAACCAUUUGUGAAAUAAUAACACUUUUUGUAUGAUACUCUCUGUUUCCUAAGUGCAAAUAAAACCUAUGAGUACAAUGGCAGAGACUAUUUCUGAGUCAUACUGGCUGUCCCAGAAAAUUUGGACACUCCAUCACUUUAACUGUCAGCUAUCUAGAUGUAGUCUUUACUUUUUUUAAGAUUUAUUUAUUUAUUUGAAAGGCAGAGUUAUAGAGAGGCAGAGAGAGAGAGAGAGAGAGAGAGAGAGAGAGAGAGAUCUUCCAUCUGCUGAUUCACUCCCCAAAUGACGGCAAUGGCCAGAGCUGGGCUGAUCCGAAGCCAAGAGCCAGGAGCUUCUUCCAUUUCUCCCAUGUGGUUGCAAGGGCCAAGGACUUGGUCCAUCUUCUACUGCUUGCCCAGGCCAUAGCAGAGAGCUGGAUCUGAAGUGGAGCAGCCGGGACUAGAACCGGCACCCAUAUGGGAUGCCAGCACUGCAGGCGGCAGCUUCACCUGCUACGCCACAGUGCUGGUCCCUAGAUGAAUUCUUUCAACCAGACAUGUAAAAACAUAUGAUUUAAUUUUCCACAGAUAGCUUCAUCUUGCUUUCAACUCCUCAGUUUUGUUGAUGGUAGAGUAGAGAAAUGGAUCUCAUCAAUUUAAAAUUACUUAAUCUGUGGCAUUUAUUUUUAUUUUAUUUUAUUUUUUAUUUGACAGAGUUAGGCAGUGAGAGAGAGUGAGACAGAGAGAAAGGUCUUCCUUCGUUGCUUCACUCCCCAAAUGGCUGCCACAGCUGGCACUGCACCGAUCCGAAGCCAGGAGCCAGGUGCUUCUCCUGGUCUCCCAUGCGAGUGCAGGAGCCCAAGCACUUGGGCCAUUCUCCACUGCACUCCCGGGCCACAGCAGAGAGCUGGACUGGAAGAGGAGCAACUGGGACUAGAACCUGGAGCCCAUAUGGGAUGCUGGCACUGCAGGCAGAGGAUCAACCAAGUGAGCCACGGCACCGGCCAAUCUAUGCAUUUCUACGAGCUUCUCUCAAAUAGUUAUUUGAGAGUACAAAGUCCCAAUCAGAACCCUUUUAGGAGAGCUUGUCUAUCAUCCCUCUUCACAGGAAUCACAGGGCAAGUUUGUAUAGGCAGCAGAGGUUGGGCAGUGGGUUGUGGACGUUGCAGGGUUUUCACAGAAUCCCUCUGAGAAGUCCUCUGCUUUUUCUCACCACGGGUACCAUGCUACUACCUGCUAAAUGUCACUGAACUCAUCUAGUUUGGUCGCAUCAUGGUAACCCCCGUUGCUGAAGUCUAAGCCAUGGUUUAUGAACAGUCUCAACAAUCCCAUAGUGCCCCACCAGUCUCUGUAGCGUUCUCUCCUAAUUGGACUUGCCAAAUGGGACUUUUAGAUGCUAUCUGUGGCCAUGAAGAGCUGCUUGGAUAUCUCCCUUAUGCAUUUGGCUGCAUGCCCAAAUUCUAUCUUCUCAAGGAAUCUAACAGCUUCCUAUAGCAUCUGUCUUGAGAAGAAAGUAUCACUCAAACCAGUUUGGGAACACCUACUACUUCCUUUUCACACUAAGAUUUAACUCAAAGGUGGCAGGAAGAGCCCAGACACCUAGAUUUGACCCACUGCCUUCCCCCUUUCUCUGCUCAAUGUCUUUUCUAUGGUGUUGGAUGAGAUUCAUAUUUUCCUUUCAUAUCUGAAGGGAGCAACCCCUGGGUCAUAACCUUCGCUCUGCCUCGGCACUUAUGCCCUCCCCCUUUCUUCUUAAUAAUAAUAGAUUUUUUUUUUACAGGCAGAGUGGACAGUGAGAGGGAGAGACAGAGAGAAACGUUUUCCUUUUUGCCGUUGGUUCACCCUCCAAUGGCCGCCGCGGCCGGCGCACCACGCUGAUCUGAAGGCAGGAGCCAGGUGCUUAUCCUGGUUUCCCACUGCACUCCCGGGCCAUAGCAGAGAGCUGGCCUGGAAGAGGGGCAACUGGGACAGAAUCCAGCGCCCCGACCGGGACUAGAACCCGGUGUGCCAGCGCCGCUAGGCGGAGGAUUAGCCUAUUGAGCCGCGGCGCCGGCCUGUAAUAAUAGAAUGGUUUUAAGGGGAACUGUAAAAUAAGUGGAAAGAAAUAUAUUAGAAGACAUGUUCAAAAUAUCAUUCCCAUUUUGGAAUUUUAGACAGGAAUAUAAAAGACCUCGUGACGAUUAGCGUGGAUAAGAGAAAUGAGAAGAUGAAUUUCUGGAGAAAAUGAGAUACUGCCCAUAAUAUUUAAAAUGUGCUUGUAGGCUGCUAUAGCUGUCCAUAGGCUUGCUAUAAAGAGUUGGUACACACACACACACAGACGCACACACACAUGCAGCAAGUGCACAAACACACAAAUGGCAUUUGCCAAUCCUAAUCAUGAGGGCAUGAUCACUGUUUUUAUAAUCAGGGACAGAUGUGCUUUUGAAUUUAAAAAAAUGGAAUUUUGCAGUCAAUUGUACACUUUCGCUAUGUCUCAAGUUCAGUCUAUGAACUAACUUCCCUAUUGUCUCCUACUUGCUUAUCAUUUGAAAAGCAAUUAUGGGCCGGCACAGUAGCUUAGCAGGUAAAGGUGCCACCUGCAGUGCCAGAAACCCAUAUGGGCAUCAGUUUGUGUUCUGGCUGCUCCACUUCUGAUCCAGCUCUCUGCUAUGGCCUGGGAAAGUAUUAGAGGAUGGUCCAAGUCCUUGGGCCUCUGCACCCACCUGGGAGACCUGGAGGAAGCUCCUGGCUCCUGGCUUGGGAUCAGUGCAGCUCUGGCAGUUGCGGCCAUCUGGGGAGUGAACCAGUGGAUAGAAGACCUCUCUCUCUCUCUCUUUCUCUCUCUCUCUCUGUCUCCUCUCUCUCUCUCUGCCUCUCCUCCUCUCUCUGUGUA